UUUUUUUAAAGGUUAUUUGUCAAGACAAAAGAGAAGAAUUUCUUAUUCCUUCUAUUGAUUUUUGUAUAAACACUAGAGUCGUGUGUGCUUUGUAUACAUUGGAUAGACGAUUGUUUCUUUGAUCAAAACAACGAACGAACGUUUACUUGACUUUGAUAUUUCUCGAAUUAGUCUUCUUUCGUAUUCCGACGAGGAAACAUCGGGGCUCUCUCUCUCCAAACAAAACUCACAUCGUAAGGCUCGCUACACGGUUUGACGACUGCGGUCCAAGGAUCAUCGUGCCAAAUAUCGGGACGAUCAUAGAUAUUAUUAAUUUGAAAGGGUACGAAAUUGUUAUCAGAUACGCUAUUCAUAAAGUCGUACCAUCUUAAAAAAGAAAAGAAUAUGCGACUGGUGUCCCGAUUGCAUGUAAAUAUGUAAAAAAAAAAAGAUCUAGGACUCACUUUCUUGCUGUACAUCUGCUCGCACCGUGAGAACCACAGGUCAAAUCCAUCGCCAAACCACCACUGGACGGAUUAAUUACGUUUUUACACGAUUCAAACGUUUUAUUUAUAAAUUCUUCGGCCACGUGUAUCUAAAAUAAAAGCACGAUUUUUCUGA